UUUAAAUCCUGUUUUUCCCACUUACUAUUCUGGCCAGAUAUCCCAUGAAGCAGUGGGUAAGAGGACAGGAAAAAGC
rnacentral:miRNA from 1 species